AAAAAAUUUUACACAAAAUAUGAUAUAUCUAUUUGUAGUAUUAAAUUGUACGUAUAAAAUAUUUAUAAAAUUAGACUGUUAUGAAAAUGAGAGAGCGUAUCAAUUUUUUAUGAAAGAAGGGGGCGCAGACACAAAGUUUGUAACCACUGCUAUAAGGCAUAUGAAAUCACAUCUGUCACCUCAUAUACUACUUGAUUAUAUAUCUAACAUUAACAUCAUGAUUGCAGGACAAAUCAAGUAAAAUACAAAUGAGAUCCAUAUUAGGAUAAGGAACAGUAUUUGCACUCUCGCUCAGAUAGUUUAUUUUAAAUCUGCGUUAAUGGUUACGAAUCAUCAAAUCUGGUCAUCGCUUGAUAAAUCUG
rnacentral:lncRNA from 1 species